UACAGAGGUCUCAAGCGUUGUUCGGAUUCAUUGGGCGUAAAGGGUGCGUAGGCGGCGCGGUAAGUCGGGUGUGAAAUCUUGGAGCUUAACUCCGAAACUGCAUUCGAUACUGCCGUGCUUGAGGACUGGAGAGGAGACUGGAAUUUACGGUGUAGCGGUGAAAUGCGUAGAUAUCGUAAGGAAGACCAGUGGCGAAGGCGGGUCUCUGGACAGUUCCUGACGUGAGGCACGAAGGUCAGGGGAGCAAACGGG
rnacentral:rRNA from 1 species